rfam:Pan troglodytes isolate Yerkes chimp pedigree #C0471 (Clint) chromosome 5, whole genome shotgun sequence.
GCUGGGUGUGGUGGCGCACACCUGUACUCCCAGGUACUCUGGAGGCUGAGGCAGGAGGAUCACUUGAGCUCAGGACUUCAAGGCUGCAGCAAACCCUGACCAUGACACUGCACUCCAGCCUGGGUGACAGAGUGAGACCCUGUCUCAA